GCCCGCUUGGCCUCAGCACCUCAAAGCCACCUCUACGCCUAACGCUGUCACCGCAGCAACCGCUGUGCUGCUGAAGCGCCCGUAAUAACCGGGCCCCGCCGGGGCCGCUGCGCUCGGCCGCCUGCGCCGCCCUGCCCACAAGCAAUAUGGCGACCGCCGCCUCGCCUAGCGGUCACGUGACGCGCGCGCCCUCCCGUGACGGUGGGGGGAUCUCGCGAGCGCGGCGCGAGGCGGCGGCCAUGGCGGACGGGGCGGGUAGCAACGGGGACGCCGUGGGACCGCCGGUGGGCAAGGAGGCGGUGGAGCGCCUGAUCCGGGAGAACGGCCACAUCUUCACAGAGGCGCAGUGCAAGGUGUGCAGUGCUCUGCUCAUUUCCGAGUCGCAGAGACUGGCCCACUACCAGAGCAAGAAGCACGCCAACAAGGUGAGGAGGUACCUGUCCAUCCAUGGCGGAGAGGAGCUCGCCCACGGGAAGAAAAUGAAGCUGGAUGCAAAGCAGGACGGCAAGCAGGAAGGCAGCAGUGGGGAAGAUCGGAACAAGUGUUGUCCCAUCUGCAACAUGACAUUUUCCUCCCCGGCUGUGGCAACAUCUCACUACUUGGGCAAGACUCACGCCAAGAACAUGAAGCAGCAGUCCCCCAAAGUGGAAGAAGCAGUGCCCCCACAGAAGCAUCCUGCCACGCUCCCCACCUCUGCUGUGUCUUCUAAUGAAGAGAACAAGGACAUUACUGACCCAGACAAAUUCUGUAGCCUCUGCCAUGCCACUUUCAACAACCCCCUUAUGGCAAAACAGCAUUAUGUAGGCAAAAAGCACAGAAAGCAGGAGACCAAACACAAGCUGAUGGCACACUAUGGCCGAACCCCUGAUGCACCAGCAUCGUCCUUCAUGGGCACCAGGUUGUUGGCUAGCUGUGUGCUAACAUUGAUGUCUUUUCAGCCGGGAAGGGGUACCCCUGCAGCACAUGUAACAUAGUACUGAACUCCAUAGAGCAGUACCAAGCGCACAUCAGCGGCUUCAAACACAAGAAUCAGAUGCCAGGAGCAGCACCAGUUGUUGGACCGUUCCCGCCACAGCAGUAUGUCCGGGAAGAGUCCACUGCCCCAGGAGGAUACAGUUAUUUCAGCCAGGACUUCUAGAGCUGAUUGCAGCACUGUUCUUGGAGUUGUUGGUGGCCCAAGAACGCACAUCCUUUGCCAGCCCACAAUGGUUUCAUUAUCCCUCUGGAUAAGCAAAGCCCUGUCCUCCUGUAUGCACCCGUUGAGCAGAACGGGGACUGAAUCUGUCAGAAAAAGGAUCCAGCUGGAAGAGACUUGCUAGACAGCAAAUACUUCACUCCCUUUAGAGUAGUUUUCAUUGUGUAAUUGCUUCCUGUGAAGGUGGGUGCGAUGUGAGGGGAAGUGUGUAUCUGGUAUAACGAGGGUUUGGCAAUAGGCUGGUAGUGGCUCUCUCCUCUCUCACCACAGCAAAUAAUGGAUUCCUGCACCUGGAGAGCCAGCAUUCUGUGCUCAGAAGUGGCUUUUGCUGGAGGAGAUUUCCUAGACCAUAGUGAGCAGUGCUUAUGCAGCAUGGAUAGGACACAGUGCAGGUUGCCUGGCUUUGUACAGGCCUAAAAUAGGAAAUAACCCACAUGGCAUCUCUAUCUGUGCCUCCUGUGGUCAGGUUUGUGUGCAGAAUUUCAUGAGCCGCUGUUUGCCAUUAGAGCCUUUUGCAGUACCGCAGCCGUUGGUUCUGGAGCUGGGUUGUUUUGGUCUAACGAGUUGUUACAGCUUGUGGUGUGCAAAGUGCUGCUGGUGGGAAUGGAGGGCUGCCAGAGAGGUUCAGGCUCCUGGCUCUCCUGAGCAAUCUGCUCUGAGGAUUUCCACGUGGAAGGACAUAACUGUUUAGCCUGGUUUCCUAUGGAAACAGGUGUGUACGUGAUCAUUCACCAUGCGUGUCUUUACCCCCUGUGACUUAAACCAGCCUCGGCCAAACUUGAUAGCGGUAGAGGUCUCCAAGAUCUGAAUGCAAUCAGCAGAGGAAAGUAGAGCAGAGUGAGUUCAUUGCUAAUUCUGUCAGGGUCUGCAUGGAAGUGCAGCAUUUUACCUUCUGCCACCAAAAUACUCUGGGGAAGGAAGGUUUUGAAGGAAAAGAGAGGGAAUAAAUCUAGGUGCAGCAGGAAACCGUAGCGUAACUUGGUCAAAUUGUUAGCUGACUAAAAAGCUCCAGAUCCUUUAGAAACCUGCCUUCAUUAGUCAUUCGUUAGACACUACUUGCCCAGCCCCUCUCUUCAAAGUUCUUACACAUUUGUACCAUCCUGGAAAAUGGAUGUUCUAUAUUUCAAACUCAGAAAUCAAGACUAAUGGUCUCUUCAUGGUGCUAAAGUACUAGAUCUGUUAGGAAGGGUGGGUAGGCAUCUGAGGCCGUUGUGUGUUUUGGAUGAGUUCUUUAGAUGUUUUGCCUUAGGCUAAGGCAUUGCCUCUUCCCUGCUAGCCCACCACAAGAGCCAUGUGUGUUGGGCUGGCCUCAUGUUCAGUCCCAGCGCUCCAAGUCAGGCACCCCUCGGCUUUGUCCCAGCAUCGGUGGCUCCGUGGAGCUGAGACUUAGCUAGACAGCGGCAAACACUGCUUUUUUUCUUCCAUAUGGCAGAAGGAUGCAGAUGUGACCUCUCUGAGGACUCGCCUGGCUGGUGGGGCUCUGAGGGGCUGGUAGGAGCAUGAGUGACUGCUGUGGGUACACUGCACUGCGGGAGUGGGCUCAGCCAAGCUGCUGCUGCCUCCACUGCAUGAGCCCAGCAGCUGCUGGAGGGCAGUCUGGGGUUCUUAACUCCCAGCAACGUGUGCCAGGGGAGCAGCUGACACUUUCUCGAGGCUGAGAGCUGGGCUGUAGUACUUCCAAAAUCUGGUGUGUGUGCUGGUCAGGUUAAGCAAGAAGAGAGAGAGUUGGUUGCUAAUCUCGGUGCUUGGAGUGAGUGCCUUCCCUUCCCCACUCAAGGCUGAGCAUGAGUUUUGUUCUUCACCCUGAACAGAAUCUGCCAUCUUCCCUUAGGACAGGCUCCUGCUGGUCUGGGUUCGCCUUCCUAAUGUUUUCCAGUCUUGCUCCACUGCUGAGGUCAGACCUUAGUCUCCUGCUACAGGGGGAGUCCUUUUAAACCUUAUGAGCUGAUCAAUGAGCAGAAAAUUGCGGUGACCUGAAGGAAGCAUUGUGCGCCUGGUAGUCCUGGAUGGCUUCCAACUCCGAUCUCUGCUGCUUAGCUCUCAUCCCGCAGUACCAGGGCAGGUGCCUGCUAGAUGUGCUACGCAUCAACACCAAGAGGGAUCCAUUUCCAGCACUGCCCAGUCUGGUGUGUCACUCCUGUCUGUGUACUGACAGUUUUGCCUUCCCCUGUACACAGUGUUUAUGUAUCUUCUGUUUCCCUAAGGUGAAGCUCUCCAAAUAGAGUGUUUAUUACUA